UUCCUUAGUACGGCGAGUGACCGGGAUGAGCUCAAAUUUGAAAUCUGGCGUCUUUCAGGCGUCCGAGUUGUAAUCUAUAGAGGCGUUUUCCGCGCCGGACCGCGUCCAAGUCUCUUGGAAUAGAGUAUCAAAGAGGGUGACAAUCCCGUACUUGACGCGACAACCGGUGCUCUGUGAUACGUUCUCAACGAGUCGAGUUGUUUGGGAAUGCAGCUCUAAAUGGGUGGUAAAUUCCAUCUAAGGCUAAAUAUUGGCGAGAGACCGAUAGCGAACAAGUACCGUGAGGGAAAGAUGAAAAGCACUUUGGAAAGAGAGUUAAACAGCACGUGAAAUUGUUAAAAGGGAAACGAUUGAAGUCAGUCGUGUGAAAGGUAUUCAGCCGUCUCUGGCGGUGUAUUUGCCUUUCACGGGUCAACAUCAGUUUAGUCCGGUAGAAAAAGGCUGGAGGAAGGUGGCACCCUCGGGUGUGUUAUAGCCUCCUGUCACAUGUGCCGGAUUAGACUGAGGAACGCAGCUUGCCGCAAGGCCGGGGUUCGCCCACGUACAAGCUUAGGAUGUUGACAUAAUGGCUUUAAACGACCCGUCUUAACA
rnacentral:rRNA from 1 species